rnacentral:pre_miRNA from 1 species
UCUCAUGGAUGAGCAAAGAAAGUAGUUUCUUGAGAUGGAAUCUACUUCUGAUGAAGAUGCUGUGAA